UAUAGUUCUCUUAGAACCUUGUGGUUUUCUUUGAAUUUUGUCAGAGUUCACCCCUUCCAUUAUUUUAUCAGAGUUCACCCCUUCCACUAUUUUAUCAGAAUUCAC